AUUGAACGCUGGCGGCGUGCCUAACACAUGCAAGUCGAGCGGGAAAGGGGCUUCGGUCCCUGAGUAUAGCGGCGGACGGGUGAGUAACACGUGGGUAAUUUGCCCUUGGGUGUGGAAUAACUCAGGGAAACUUGAGCUAAUACCGCAUGACAUCCCCUUCACACACGAGUUGGGGAUCAAAGCCGGGGACCCUUCGGGGCCUGGCGCCUGAGGAGAAGCCCGCGCCCGAUUAGCUAGUUGGGAGGU
rnacentral:rRNA from 1 species